AAGCAUAAAGUCAAUGUCCUGCUAUGCCGCAUAAUUACAGUGCUUUCACAUUAUGGUAAAUUUGUUUCCUACAAGUAAAAUCAUUGUUAGUGCCAAUUCAUGGUGCAGGACAAGUAAGCCAUCCACACGAAGUCGACGGCAGCAAGGGUGUGGGGCGUCGGGAGGAGCAUCUGGGUUGAAGGUUCUGACCCUCGCCAUUGAGACUACGUAUCGUGGUCGUCGCCGAGUAAAUCUGGUAUGUACGCAACGAACCUCCCUAAUGCAAUGCCGCUGCUGUUUAUUUCAUCUUUUGAUUGCGAGAGACUAUAUUCAACGAACCUACAUAUUUUGAUCAAUUAUUUUAAUUAUAUUAGCAAUGGGAGCUUGCUGUUCAGUGAGGAUUUCCCCCCUUAAAGUCAUAUUGUUAAUAUCCAAAAAAAUUAAUGGUUCGGUGGUGAUGUCCCACUGCUUUGCCCUUUUAAUUCCAGCACUUAAAUAAGAAUUGGAGGGCAGACAUUGCACAAAUGGAUCAUGUGGCAUUUACUAUUGUUGUAUUAUCAUAUCUAGCAUCUCUCUAUCAAAAAAUAAAUCUAGCAUUAAUUUUGAACUUCUGAUGAUGUAAGGUAAACACAGAGGCAUAUCUCCAUCAUAGUUGCAUCCUUUAUAGCAGAGAUUUUGUUAUGAAAAAUUUAUUUUGUUGAUGGAAACCUUUGUGCUUCUGUCACUUAAGACGUGAAGUUUUUGUAGACAAGCUUAGGACGUGAAGUUGGAUGCAACAUCUAUAGAUCUACUGAGACUAAAAGGUGGUUGUUAGUUAGGUUCUGAUUGUGCCAAUCAAUAAUACACAAUUGUUACUAGGGUUUGGCUAGGGAUGCCAUCCAUCAACUCCUGUUUUAAAGUGUGCUUGUGAGAUGCAAUCCGAUCUCUCUAUCUUUCCCGCUGAGAUGCAGAGGAGCUCGGUGUUUUAGGGUUUGGUUGUUGCUGCAGGGGAAGGUGGAGCUGCGAGGAAACAAGACAGGUGGACAAUGCGACAGGAAGCAAGAACGAAUUUCUAAUCAAUCUACUGUCUCCCUUGAGUCGGGGUGAACGUACUGACGCACCACGUUGUGUUUAUUGAUCUGGAAUCCUAGAGGAUCACCCACCCUCAUAAUUCAGUAUUGAGAUGAUCUCCUUAAUUUCUCAAAUGUGUUUUAUUAAAUUGGAUUCCUGUAAUUAUCAUUGCUCUAAUUUGAUAGUUUUACCCUCCCAAGCAUGUUGUGCUUCCAUAAAAACAUGAAUAUUUCUCAGCCAUUUUAUUGAAAAUGUAGUCG
rnacentral:lncRNA from 1 species